rnacentral:rRNA from 1 species
CCUACGGGGAGGCAGCAGUGAGGAAUAUUGGUCAAUGGGCGCAAGCCUGAACCAGCCAUCCCGCGUGCAGGAUGACGGCCCUAUGGGUUGUAAACUGCUUUUAUACAGGAAGAAAAAUCUCUACGAGUAGGGACUUGCCGGUACUGUAUGAAUAAGCAUCGGCUAACUCCGUGCCAGCAGCCGCGGUAAUACGGAGGAUGCAAGCGUUAUCCGGAUUCAUUGGGUUUAAAGGGUGCGUAGGCGGUUCUUUAAGUCAGUGGUGAAAUCCUGUCGCUCAACGAUAGAAUUGCCAUUUAUACUGAAGAGCUUGAGUUCAGUUGAGGGAAGCGGAAUGUGUAGUGUAGCGGUGAAAUGCUUAGAUAUUACACAGAACACCGAUUGCGAAGGCAGCUUACUAAACUGACACUGACGCUGAUGCACGAAAGCGUGGGGAUCGAACA